CAGACAGCAAGCUGGAGCUGAGCUGGAUGCUUCCUCCACACCAGCUAGUCUUCAAGGUCUAGGAAGGUGCUCUUCGGGCUGCAUGGGAAAAGUCACCAACAGGCUAACUCAGCUGUAAACCCUAUGGGCCACAAUAAUGACCUACCAGGAACCAGGAAGAUGGCAGCGUAACUGACAGAAGACAGCAGGUGUUAACAGAGGUGUUAAUGAGAAACAGAAGAAGAGUCUUCAGGUCCCUCUUCUCUCCACUGUCGCUUUGACCAAGUCCCUGACAAGAAGCAACUCGCGGCAGGAGGGUUUGUUUCUGCUUACAGUUGGAGGGAAGCAGUCACCACCAGCGAAGGCACGACAGGAGUGGGGGCAGCUGGUGACAGUGUGUCCACAGUCACCACGCAGAGACCAGUGCCAGUGCUCAGCUUGCUUCUCCUUGUAAUUACGUCCGUAAUUCCAGCUCCUGGAAGGGUGCUGCGGUAGUUUGAAUGAUAAUAGAAAUACCCAUCUUCAAGAAAUCAUAAGGCCUUGGACACCUAGACCUCUACAGCAUAAAGGAAGGACCUACUGGUACCAAUAUACUACUCCACAGGCAAUCUUUGAAGUCUCCGGAAGGAAGACAGGGCCCCACAACAAUGACUCUACUCAGCACAGAAUGACGCCAUUACAUCUAAGAACAUUAUUCAAUGAUCAGUUUUGGACUGAAAACUCUUCAGGACAGUUCUAAGAUGAGAUGGUCCAUUAUACUACACUUCUAGCCAGAAUCUCAGAAAAUUUUAUCCAUUACUACUGGCUGCAGACUCUAAGGCUAGCCCUAUUAGAACCUGAUUAAGCUUUCUUACAGGACCCCACAGAGAUACCGUCACCCCCUAAACAAUGGAAAACAAUUCUAAGAAAAUGAUGACCCUCUCCCAAAGGUUUCAUUUUUCUCAGUGUUAUGGAUGGAUGGUUAUAGGGUUGGGAGUAGAACAAUAAAAUUUAGACUCAAUAUUCUCCUUUAGAAAAGAAAAAAGGGAAUGGAUAGGUACAGUAUAUUAAGGCAGAUUAUUGUAUCUACUAGUAAACUGAUUUAGCAAACUAUCAGUCUUGGAUAAUUUGCACUGAUAUGGAGUCUCAUAUACUGAUACAAAUGUAAACUAACUAUUCUUAUAUUCCUAUUUAAGAUAAUUUGUAUAUUGAUACAAAUACAAAACUAUAUUUGUUGUAUACAUUUCCUACUCCUGUUUGAAAUAUUUUGAAUACAAGUGUAAUAUUAUAUUUAUCAUACUGUAUGUGUGUUCUACCUCUGUUUAGGAUAUUUAAAUAUUGAUACAUAUUAAGGAUAUUGUUAUCAUAUUGCAUACUGCACUAUACACUUCUACCUCUGUUUAAGAUAUUUUAUGCAUUGUCACAAUUUUGAGAUCAUUGUCCUUAUAUGGUACAUCUGCUUACAGACUGUUUACCUUGUUAAUGUGAAGCCUUAGUCCUUAAGUUAUUUAGGUAGAGAAGACUUACAGAGCUAUAGUCACCCAUGCUUGUCAUUUCUAUAGUUAUGUUAGUUAGGUUCUCCAGAUUUACAGAAACAUAUAUCAAUGGAUAGGUAAUCUUCAAACACUUCAUAGACCUAGAGAAUAUGGCAUUUAAAUGUUUUGAUAAUUUAGAAGUCUGUUGAUGUGAGACAUGAUUGCUCCUGGCAGCACUGAUCUGAUCCUAAGAGAAUGUUGGGCUUCUAAGACAUUUCUGUAUGGAAGUUUGUCUUCUUCUUGGCAAAAUGGCUUGCUGGGCAAAAAACUGCCCUUGCCUCAACUGCUGACAGUAUGAACAUUGUCCUUUCCAGACAAGCAAGACACAAGGAAAAGUGACUACUGAACUCUGCCCAGACAGGGUAAGAUGGUCUUUCAAAAUUCUUGCUUCUGAAAAUGGUCUGUCAAAU